rnacentral:lncRNA from 1 species
UCCCUAGAAACCAAACACCCCCAUAGUCAAACCAUAUCACAAUUCAUUUCAAAAAGCUCAGUGCCCAGCCAUCCAUGCAUAUGCGAUCGAGCUAGUGUUUGAUAAAGUCAGUAUCCCUUCCAUCUCUUUAUUAUUGAACAAACGUUAAGUUUAUUUAUUUUAUUGAGUGUAUCACAUAACCCCUGCUCUAGCUUGAUUGCUCUCAUGGCGGGCAGCAGCACUCGUAUUUGCUGCCCUCAUGCUUGCAGUAGGCAGACUUGGUCUUGUGCUUGGCGGACAGGCAUUGCAAGGCGCAUGUCGCGGUCGUGCAGUGGUCCGCGUCAUUCUUGAGAGGGUCCACGCACGGUGUCGCAUCUAGCUGCUGAUCGCAGCCACCAAUGCCUGCACAUGCUGCCUCACUCGUCAGUGAUCAGUCAGUCUUGAGAAGGAGAAUAAUACUGUAGAAAAUAAAGUAAAGUAGGGUCGGUGAUGGUGCCUACAGCUUCGUCCGGCUUCGUAGCACGGAGACGUUGAAGACAGGACCGCAAAAACCAGGAAUAGGACGAUUGUCGUCUUGAACACCGCCAUGAGAAGAAGAGGAUAUAUAGAUCGAAUUCCCUAGUGAUGUGUGCGCUGGAGAAGAGUAUGUGUAUCUAUAUUUGUUCUCCAUUUUAGCUAGUGUACAUGUCCUUUUAUAUAAAAGAACGUACAAUCAAUUAGCAAACAAAUGAAUGUGGUUUUGUCACAUGCAUUAAUUAUCUCCUUAGAUACGAAUAGUAAAAUGUGAAUAUCCAAUCACGAUCUUGUGUGCUCUGGUUUUGAUUAAUUCUCCUUUCUAGCUAUCUGUGGCGUUUAUAGACAUCAUUUUAUUUAUUUAUUUUAACUCUAAUUCCAUAUAAUUCCUGAACAAUAUUCUAUAACACAUACAAAUGCAUAAACUUGUACUAUACAAACACACAGGAUAUUGGGUCCAUUAUCUAAUCGUACUGAAAAUUGGAAGGUGGUGAGCGACGGAGUAAGAAAUCUUUGCCAUUUAAUAUUAAAUUUAGGAAUAUUGUUAUUUAUUUAUAAAUGAAUAGAUAUAGGUACAGAUGUAGAUAUAUGGAAGUAGAUUUAGAUAUAGAGCUAUAGAUAUAGAUAUUGAUCAUAUAGACAGAGAUAAGAGAUUUUUGUAGGGGAAGAUAUAGAUAGAGAUUGUAGAUAAUAGAUAUAUCCGCAACACUUUUGAAAUUGCACGCAAAUCGCAACAUACUAUCUUCAGUGAGCAAACCCCAAGUAGAAAGUAUGGUUCAAACAUCAGUACGCCUUUAACACGAGAAAACUGUAAAGCCCAAAAUUUUUAUAAAAGAAAAAUAAUAAAAUAAAUAAAUAUAUUUAUGUGUUGGUGUUUUGGGAUUAUGGAACCUUCAGAUAUUAUUUGGUUUCUUUUCUUUUUGCAUAUUCAAAUAAUAGAAUUAAAUUACUCAAGUAACAAAUAAAUAAAUACUGGAAUAUGCAUUUCAUGCUGAGGUUCUUAAAUUUUUGCAUUUGACUUCAAGUUCAUGAGGCAAGUUUAAGUUUGAAAAAUAGAACUUGGAAAUGGAAAGAGAAAUAAGAAAAGAGAAUGAAAUAGAAAUGGAAAAGAAUAUACAUUACAAAGAAAAAUAUAUCUGAAUAAUUAUAAUUCUUCAUACUAGUACUUUAUUUGUGCAUUUAACGUAUGUGUGAACUCAUAAACAAGUUUUAAUUCAAAUACUAGAGUUUGAAAUUUCGGGAAGAAAUUCAAAACAAAAAUAAAUAAAAGAAGGCUUCCAAAACCAUUCUAGGCCCAAAACUGAGGCGCGGCCCAGUACUGUUCCCCUUACGCACGACCCACUUUUCUCUCAGCACAGCCCAAGUGAAUGGGUCGGCAUCGACACCCUUGGCCCACUUGUCGGUCUCCCCACGCUCGCGAAACAGACGACGUGCACGCUGAUCUGAGGAAACACUAACAAACCGGGCCCACACGUCGGUCACUCAAGUGCGCGCACAAGUUUCAACCGCUGGCGCGUGGGGCUCGUCCGUCGGAUGGGUCAUCCCCUUCACGGGACCGGUGUCAACCGAACACGACAAUGGCGGGCGCUUUGCAGGGGGGAGGGGGUCAUUUGGGUGGUGCUGAGGGAUAAAGCUUGAACCCGUGGUCGUCGUGCCCUUCCUCCUCCAUCGUGUGCCCGUAAUCUUUCCCCAACAACAUCAGCUGAACACCGGUCUUCACCAUCGAGUGGGUCCGCCGGACCGCUGGCUCGUCGCGCUCGCGCCACCGUGGGACUUCCCCUUGUCACUGACGCUCGAGACCUCAUUACUCGCUGGUGGGUGUCACCGUGCCGGAGGGGAGAAUCUCGGCAGCAUCACCACAUAGGACUCACCUCUGAAGCCUGGGAAUUCCUCACCGGAGACGAGGAACCACGUCGCACCGUGGUCCGCGGCAGUCGCCAUCACGCUCAUCGGUAAAGACCUCGGAACCAAGUUCGUACUAACCUCUGCAAUGUAUUUCGUGGGCUAUCGAUGGAGAUUGGGUGCUGAGGCAUCGGCGGACUGUGCGCGAUAAUGGCGCCGCCGUGGGUGAAGGGUUCAUCACCGUCUCUGGUGCCGACUUGGGUAGGGCUUCGGUAAAUCUUUGAUCUUCGAUGCAAGGGCUAGGAUUAGAUCUGGCAAGUGUUGGCCCUCGACCGUAGAUCAUGUGGGGAAUGGCCCAGAUCAAAUCUUGGCGUAUCACUUCAAAUCAUUAAAUUAGAUCCAUCGAUCUCGAAUCUGACGAGCAGUGUGGUAUGACAGCUCGUGAGAUUAGGAGAUCAAACCUGGUCUGUGGAUUCGUAAUCGCAUGGUCUAGAGCAAAGGAUACCCCUUCGACCGAGGAAAUUUCUAGAUGAGCCCCUAGGGUUUUAGGAUAUCAACCCGCCAUCCUUGCACUAUUAAAAGAAAUAUAAAACAGGCCCAAGAUUUUAGCGACAUAGCCCAUGUACUCUAUGGAUUUUAAACCCACAGCCCAACAGUAAAUAAAAUGGAAUAAAUUAGUGCAGAGAAUGUUUUUUUGUAUGAAAAUAAUCCCAGAAACUUAGUUAAUUCAUAAUUAAUUCAUUUAAACUCCUUUUUGAUCCAUUCUAGUCGCAUAGAAUUCAUAUUAAUAUUGUUUAUCAUCUGGUAAUUUUAUUUGUUAUGAAACAUAAGAUAAAAUUUUACUUAAUUUGUUUUAUAUCUAACACCUAAAUCUUUGGAAAAUCGUUACUCUUUAACCGUAACUCCGAAUUUAGUGGUUCUCGAACCGGUGGUCUUGUUACUAUGCAUAGAUAUUAUAAUACAUUAUGUUAUGAUGUUUGGUGUGAUGUUAAUUUCUUCUAUACCAUGUUUGCUUGUAUUGCUGCGAGUAGAUGAGCAAACGACCGAGGAUCUCGAUACUUAGUAGGUGGAAUACUAAGCAGGAGCUCGUUGAAGGUAAGUUGUGCCCUUGAUCACUUUUCUCUCCACCUAAUAAUGUUCUCUCGUAAUCACUGUGACAUGCUCAAGUUAAUUUGAUGGGACCCAAUAGGUUUCUCUAGUAUUGUUUAUCCCACACCUUGCAAACAAAUGAACUACUGGGUAGUAUAGCUAUUGCUAUACCCGGUUUUGGGAUUAAUGUUACAUUUGAAUUAUGAUCAUGCCUAGAAUUACAUCUACUUUUUGUCCAUUUAUAACAAUCAUGUUAGCAGGGAACUCACGUCCGGCCAAUAUUACGGGUACGUGGAAGACUACUUCCUUAGUAAAUAUUUGACCCCCAGGUGAGUGAAUAACAAAACCCUCUUUUGAUUUAGUACUACGUAUGCAAUGCUUCUCAACAAAAGUCUUGCUCAUAAAUGUAUGUGAUGCACCAGAAUAAAAAAGGAUAACAGCGGGAUGGUUGGCAACGAGAAACGUACCCAUCAUCAUCGGUUCUCCUUCCGGGGUAGUCGCCACUUUGAUGUAAUAAACUCGCCCAGUUUUCUUCAUAUUCUUGCCCGCUGGAGGGUUGACCACAUUUCCCUUUCCUUGAGCUGUGUUCCUAGAAGUUUUUUUUGAAAUUUGAUUUAUUUUGUUUUGGGUAAGGGCAAUCUUUGAUAAAAUGUCCAGACUUCCCACAAUUAAAGCAGCCACUUGAGGAACUGGGUAGGGCGGGGAAACGAGCACCAAGGGCACUCGGCUGAUUGUUCUUGGCGGGGGUAGGAGUGGGAUGGAUGAACACUGGUUGCUUAAAGGGAUAUGUGGGUGGACGAGGAGAAGAACGAUUUGGGUUGAAGGGACGAAUUACCAACCUUGUCCGCUUUUCAAACCCCUGAGAUGAUCCUUCACCCCCCAUAUCUCUUGGUUUUUCCUUGUCCCGAAUUCUUAGCUUCCACUGACAGUGUUGUGCUUACAGCCCUACUAUAGGUGAGAUCCAGACAUGUGGCCAUCUUGCGCUGGAGUCGAUCAUUCAACCCUCUCAUGAAGCAAAUUUUCUUUUUCAAAUCCGUGUCCACUUGAUCGAUAACAUAUUGGGAGAGAUGAUUAAACUUGUUGAAAUAUCGCAUUACUGAGUCUCCCCCCUUGUUUUAAACGUAUGAACUCCUCCAGCUUCAUCGUAGAACCCCUUCCGGAACAUAAUGUUCCCUGAACGCCUGUUUGAAUUCCGCACAUGUGACCAGAUGUCCUGCAGGCUGAAUGGCUGAAAAAUUUGCCCACCAAGUGCUGGCAGGACCUCUCAAUUGUUGGGCGGCGAAUAGGAGCUUCUGUGUUUCAGUACAUCGGAUCAGUCCGAAUUUUUGCUCCAUAACCCGUACCCAUUCAUCUGCUUCCAGAGGUUCUCCAGCUUUAACAAAAAGCGGUGGCCGGGUUUCAGAAAAAUCCAAGUAUGUGGUGUCUCGUGGCCCUUGAGGUUGACCUCUGCCUCCAUGUUGCUGAAAUUGAUUUCCCGCCAAUUCACGCAUGAAACGUGUGUUGUCAGCGGUAGCAUUGACUAAGGCAGCGAUAGCCUCGGCCAAUGUAGGAGGUACAGGUGGCGGGUUUGGAGUUUCCUCCCGCCGCGGGAAGUUCCCGCUCCGUCAUGAGCACGAGUUCUUGAUGGCAUCUGAGGAAGAAAAACAUCCUGAAUUAUUACAUGCCGAAAGUACACCACCUUUAUUACAUUAUGCUGAACUGGUAAUAAUUAUACAUACUCACUGUUACAACUCAACUUCCUUAUUUAAUUUACAUAAGGACACUACUUAAAUUACACUGCUCUAAUUAUCUUCGUCCUUGGCCGUUCCUACUCCACUGCCAGCCUCGGGAGAAUGUUCAUCUGCGAGGUUCAUGGAAGGAGGGGCUCCAAAAAGGUCCAACUCCCCAUCAGGUCCGGCUCCCAUUGCUGCAACCUCUGGUGGUACAUUCGAUGCAGCCGGUCGUAUAACACACACACCUCUUCAUGCAGGGUGUUACAAUACGCUUGCAGAUUUUCCAGGGAUGCGCUUAGUUCCGCUACCCGGGCUAGAGCAUUUGCCUCAGAAUCCCAGGCGCAAGAGCGCGAAUUUACGACCCAGUCAAUAGCCGGGUCUCGUUCCGCAAUUUCCUGCUGCAAGCGAUUAACCUCCGCUGACAGCUCAGCUAUGCGGCGGCUAUCUCGUGCACGCUCCCUAUUUCCAUGACGUACCUCUAACAUGAGUCGUUCCACCCUGGCCUCUAGAUCCCCUAUUGGAUCGUUGCUUCCGUUGUUGCUCCCCUCAUGUCUAGGAGCCAACUGGUGCCGGGGUACAUCUCGAGGUUCGGUUGCUUUUCGUUGGGUGGUCUUGGUACGCACCAUAUCUCCAUAAGAGGGAAAGAAUUAUUUAGUAUAGUUUAAACAUGAUGCAUGCAUGACCUAAUGAUUAUAGAAUCAACUUUUUGUUGAUCCCCUACCUCCUACGUAUACUAUUAUUUGGCACUCUGUUACUCGACUCCAAAGUUAAGUUACUACCAGAAAGUGGCAAGAUAAGAAUGAAAGAAUGUUUCAAGGUAAGUAUUUUAAAAAUCUUUUGAAGUACUAUGUAAUGUCCGAAGAGACGGGCUUUGCUCCGAUACCAGCUGUGACGGAACCUCCCAAGGUAUUAGGCCCACCUACAGAUGUCCUUGUCCUAAGGACCUCAGACAGUCAUGCAGGUGCGCAUAAUGACUUGGCAAGUUUGGUUAUCUGUAUCUUCAUCAUAUCGCCCAAGAGCGCUUAACCCAUCACGCAGACAUUACACAUAAUCGGAGUAGAGAAUGAGAAGAAAGGAUUACAAUAACAUAAUUUACAUUCAUAUAAAAAUAUAGAAAGAGUACUUAUUAUAUAACCGGGUGUUCGAGUGCGGAACUUAUUAUUACAUUACUGGGAGGCAAAACAUCCUCCCGCAAACAGGUUUAGUGAUCUUUCUCCUGCUUCGGCACCACCUUAGAACAGAAACAGCAGAACUCCGUCGUUUCAUCACCUACAACAACAUGGGUUCGAAAACCCUGAGUACGGAGUGUACUUUCGCAAGUCUUACCCGUCAAAGGAAAAACACUCUCAAGGAUAUGCUGGCUUUUGGGAACCAAGGUAAAGCUCAUCAAAAUUCAAAGACUCUGUUUGCAGAAAAGCUUACUAUGAGUGGAUCCUUAAAAAUCCAUUUUUAUUAUCUGAUAGAGGGACGUCGUCGGCUAUCUGUGCCCGUACUCCUCCAACUUCACUCGAUGUGUUUAGUGCUCGAGCGAAAUUGGGGUACAGGUUUCGAGCGAGGAGAGGGUUCUCUCGCCGAAGCCUAGCGCCUUGUUCGGCUAGCUCUCGCUCCCGAUCUUGAGCCUAUCGGCGAUCGCGGCGGCGGGAGUUACGCCUUUCUCGGUGCACUAGUUCGUCGGGCGUUUCUCCCACUUCUGAGGCUUUGUCUCGGGACACGGGAUGCGCCGGAUCCCGUUCCCCGGCUUCAUGAUAUCGCCGCACAUUCUGGCGUCUGUUUCUCCGUCGCUGGGCAUCACGCUGGGGAGGUUCCUCCCUUGCAUGGUAGGCUCAUCGUCGGAAAUGGGCGCUGACUCCAAUAUCCCCUGGAUGAAGAGGAUGUCAGGGUAGAAAGGAGCCGGCGCGACAGUGUUCUUCCCGUCCUCCUUUGAGGGCAAAGGUACUAGAAAGGUGGCUUGACGUGUUCUCCUUCCCUGACUCGGGAUGUUUGUUUCCUUCUUCCGAGUGAUUCGUGUCCACUCCUUAGUGGGCGAGGUGGACAACAGAGUUUUUCGGGUAAGCGAAACCCCGACUGACUGGUCUUUCUUUUCCCGAGGGCUCCCGAACCUCGGUCCGCGAAGGAUCAUCUUCCCUCGAGCUGCGAGCGGGGGCGCUGUCCGCAGUCUUGCUCUGGCUUCCCUCUGGAUUCCAAGAAAGGCUUAUUCUCGAGUGGAUCCGCUACACGGUGUAGAGCCCCUUCUUCGUCCGCUAUGCAUGAGAUGGUUCCAAAGCGGAACAUAGCUCCUAGGCGAAGAGUGAUCUUGUUCUUAAAGGUGAUGGCCAUUGAGCUUGCUUUGAUCAACGACACACCCCUACCUGGCGCGCCAGCUGUCGGUGUCUAGUGUCCGACCACACACCCGGGGAUACCCUCGUGGUGCUUUUGGGUAGGACGGUGUUGCUGAUCGUAGCUCGAUGGUUCGUGCUAGGAGCACGAGAGAGUAAAAGAAAGAGACAGACAUUUUUUUGCAGGUUUAGGCCGCUUUGAGAGGUGUAAUACCCUACUUCCUAGGGUGGCUUUGCAUGUGUGGUGUGUUACAAGUGGCGUCUCCUGAAUGGAGAGGGGCUAAUUGAGAUGAAAAUGAUGGGGUUCCCCCUGGGCCUUAUAUACACGACCAUGGGACACUCCCUACGUACACGGUGAUCACAUUCUUCUAGCAUAUCUCCUAGCUAAUAGUGAACUAACUUAUCUUAUCUUAAGGAAAACCCUCCGACUCCAUCCCGAUCCAUCCACGACAUUCGAGGGCGCCGGGCGUAGGAAAAACAAACGGUUCCUUGAGAUUGUGUGUAAUCCAACGGAUGAUCUGGGCACGUGCCCAUUGCCUUCUUGGGUCAGUCCAUUUCACUUGCAGUCUUUGUCCAGCCCACGACGAGACGAACUUGUGGAGCAACUGGUCUGUGGCCCCAUGCAAGGGUCUUUCUCCUUCUAGUGGACCCGGGGGAUAUCUGUCCCCCACACCUUGUGAUAAUCAAGAUUAUACAUGAAAACACAUUGUUAGUCAUGUUUUUGAGGACCUUUGGAAGAAGAAGGCCCCCAACAGUCACCCAUUCCAAAUUCCUCCAAGCCAAGCACCCUUAACUUGGAGGUUCUUUCGAGAUAUGCUUCUAAAAAAGAAGAGGCACCUUGUUGGUAUGAGUACUCUAUUAAUUCUAUUAAGCCUUGGGCCAGGAUAUCACCAUCCCGUGGGGCCAAGAUAUCACAAUCCACCCCCUUAGAAGACCGACACCCUCAUCGGUCAACCCCAAGCCAGGAACCUCCCCUCUUGGCCAUGUUUGUGUGGCUAAUGUCAUCAUAUGCCAUACCAUGUGACCACUCUAGGCCCACAUGCGCCAUGCGCCAUAUACCCGAACCCCUAACCCACACCCACCCGUGAAACCGCGAGGGUCGGCUCUGAUACCAUUUGUAACACCCCGUCCACUUUUGGACCGACAUUACUGACUCCUGAUAGCCCACUAGGACUAUAGACCAUCCUCAUUGAUUAACACGAGUCUUUUGUGCGCACUUUGUCCUCACUCAUGCACACCCAAGAAAACUUCUCGGUCGAUCACCCAUCACAUAUUGCUCCAAGACAAGCACGUUUAACUUAGAGGAUCAUUCAAGAUAGGCUUCCAAAAAAUAGGAUGCACCUUGUUGGUAUGAGUACUCUAUUAAUUCUAUUAAGCCUUGGGCUAGGAUAUCACUGUAACGCCCCUGGUGUUACGAUAACUAAAAUGUUGGCAUGUCAUCAUAAGCACUUGCAUUAUCUUGUUUGAUAUACCUAGAAUGCAUUCACUAGGUUAAACUUUUUCAAAAGUGUGAUGUUGUGUGUUGGGUUUAGAGUUUAGUUUAAGGACUUGGCUUAAGCUAAACUGAAAGGGAAAUGUGCCCUUGGGCCAUUUCUAAGUAUUUUGGUGAUUUAGUGUCUAACACAAGUGCUUAAAUGUAAAAUGGUGGACAAAGUACAAACCAAGGAUAAAGGUAUGUUUCUCAGACUUAGUACAUUGUUUUAUGGACUAAUGUAUUGUGUCUAAGUGCUGGAAACAGGAAAAAACCAAUUGGAAAUGUCUUGGCUCGAGCAGCCAAGAAUCUGCUCAGUCUGGGAGCACCGGACUGUCCGGUGGUGCACCGGACAGUGUCCGGUGCGCCAGGCUGGCUCGAGCGAACUGGCCGCUCUCGGGAAUUCACCUGCGACGUACGGCUAUAAUUCACCGGACUGUCCGGUGUGCACCGGACUGUCCGGUGAGCCAACGGUCGGCCGGGCCAACGGUCGGCCGCGCGAUCUGUGUGGGACACGUGGCCGAGCCAACGGCUAGAAGGGGGCACCGGACUGUCCGGUGUGCACCGGACAUGUCCAGUGCGCCAAUGGCUCUCUGGCUGCCAACGGUCGACUUCGCUGAAAAAGGAAAGAAAUCGGGCACCGGACACUGUCCGGUGUGCACCGGACUGUCCGGUGCGCCACGCGACAGAAGGCAAGAUUUGCCUUCCUGGAAUGCUCUCAACGGCUCCUAGCUGCCUUGGGGCUAUAAAAGGGACCCCUAGGUGCAUGGAGGAGUACACCAAGCAUACUCAAAGCAAUCCUAAGCACCGAGACUUCGAUUCCACUCAUUUGUUCUCUCUCCAUCCAAGCAUAUGGGAGAUAGUUGAGAAUGGAAUGCAUUUUGAUAGUAGUGAUAGUCCCAUGUUUAUCAAUGAGCAAAUUCAUAAAAAUACACAAGCUACUACUGUUCUUCUAGCUUCUUUGUGCAGGGAUGAAUACCACAAAGUGAGCGGCUUGGAUAACGCCAAGCAAAUCUGGGACACCCUCAAGAUCUCUCAUGAGGGGAAUGAUGUCACAAUGCUCACCAAGAUGGAGUUGGUGGAAGGCGAACUCGGGAGAUUCGCUAUGAUAAGGGGAGAAGAGCCAACUCAAACGUACAACCGGCUAAAGACCCUUGUCAACAAGAUAAGAAGCUAUGGAAGCACACGAUGGACGGACCACGACGUCGUCCGCCUAAUGCUAAGUCUUUUACUGUCCUUGAUCCUCAUCUUGUAAACAAUAUUCGUGAGAAUCCUAGGUACACCAAAAUGUUGUUAUUUGCAAUAGAUGUAAAGAUUUUGAUAUUGAUGCUUGUAGUGAACACAUAGCUACUAUUGCAAAGUUAAAUGAUGAAAUGGCUAGUCUUAAUGCCCAACUUAAGGCUAGCAAAAGUGAGUUUGAUAAACUAAAAUUUGCUAGGGAUGCCUACACGGUUGGUAGACAUCCCUCAAUUAAGGAUGGGCUUGGCUUCAAGAGGGAAGCCAAGAACUUAACAAGCCAUAAGGCUUCCAUCUCCACAAAGGAGAAAGGGAAGGCCCCUAUGGCGAGUAAUGAUAAAAGGAACCAUGCUUUCAUGUACCAUGAUAGAAAAUUUUCUAGAAAUGUUCAUGAUGAUAGGAGUUGUAAUGCUUUUGAUUCACAUGCCUAUGAUUCUUAUGCUAUGUUUGCUUCCAGUUCUUCCUAUAUGCAUGGUAGAGGUAUGCCUAGGAAAAAUAUUCAUCAUAUGCCUAGAAAGAAUAUUGUUCAUGUUCCUACGAAAGUUAUGAAUGGACCUUCUACAAUAUAUCAUGCUUUAAAUGCUUCCUUUGAUAUUUGUAGAAAGGAUAGGAAGAUAGUUGCUAGGAAAUUAGGGGCAAAAUGCAAGGUUGAUAAAACUUGCAUUUGGGUCCCUAAGACAAUUGUGACUAACCUUGUAGGACCCAACAAGAGUUGGGUACCUAAGUCCCAAGCCUAAAUUUGCCUUGCAGGUUUAUGCAUCCGGGGGUUCAAGCUGGAUUAUCGACAGCGGAUGCACAAACCAUAUGACGGGGGAGAAGAAGAUGUUCACCUCCUGUUGGCACUUGCUCUCUACUUGUAAGGGGAGCCAACGAGGAUGAACAGUGACGUUAACAGGAUUACGCACAAGAUGGCAAAAACUCUGUUAAAUCUGGCCUCUCACGGGCACUGUGCGGGGGUAUUUAUAGGUACCUGAGCGCCCAGCGCCUUGUGCUAAGGACGCAUGUGCCCUCAGCUACCUAGGUUAUCCCUAGAAUAUUCCCAUAAAGAAGGGUUACAUACUGUAAUUACAGGGAUGCCUCUACAAAUUAGGCCCGUAACACGCGGCGGCCACGUAGGGCCCGUUACAAUGGGCCGGAACACACGUGGGCCUCUGAGCUGGACGAGGCCACGCUGUGGGUUGACGCCGUCGCAGGCCUUCGUUUGGUGCCGAAUCGAGCGAAGGGUGUUCUUGGCCGUUUUGCCUCCGUCAGACCAGCGACUGCAGCGAAGGCCUCGAGCGAAGGGUGGCGUCUUUGCCUUCGCCCCAACACCCCUACGUCAAGAAUAAGGAUUCCCAAGAUUCAAUAAUUUUCGGUGAUGGGAAUCAAGGCAAGGUAAAAGGAUUAGGUAAAAUUGCUAUUUCAAAUGAGCACUCUAUCUCUAAUGUGUUUUUAGUUGAGUCUCUUGGAUAUAACCUGCUAUCUGUUAGUCAAUUAUGCAAUAUAGGAUAUAAUUGUCUAUUUACAAAUGUAUAUGUGUCUGUCUUUAGAAGAAGUGAUGGUUCAUUAGCUUUUAAAGGUGUAUUAGACGACAAGCUUUACUUAGUUGAUUUUGCAAAAGAGGAGGCCGGUCUAGAUGCAUGCUUAAUUGCUAAGACUAGCAUGGGCUGGCUGUGGCAUCGCCGCUUAGCACAUGUGGGGAUGAAGAACCUUCACAAGCUUCUAAAGGGAGAACACGUGAUAGGUUUGACUAACGUGCAAUUCGAAAAAGAUAGACCUUGUGCAGCUUGUCAAGCAGGUAAACAAGUGGGAGGAGCGCAUCACAGCAAGAAUGUGAUGACCACUUCAAGACCUCUGGAGCUGCUACAUAUGGACCUCUUCGGACCCGUCGCCUAUCUAAGCAUAGGAGGGAGUAAGUAUGGUCUAGUUAUUGUUGAUGACUUUUCCCGCUUCACUUGGGUGUUCUUUUUGCAGGAUAAGUCUGAAACCCAAGGGACCCUCAAGCGCUUCCUAAGGAGAGCUCAAAAUGAGUUUGAGCUCAAGGUGAAGAAGAUAAGGAGCGACAACGGAUCCGAGUUCAAGAACCUUCAAGUGGAGGAGUUUCUUGAGGAGGAAGGGAUCAAGCACGAGUUCUCCGCUCCCUACACACCACAACAAAAUGGUGUGGUAGAGAGGAAGAACAGGACGCUCAUCGAUAUGGCGAGGACGAUGCUUGGAGAGUUCAAGACCCCCGAGUGCUUUUGGUCGGAAGCCGUAAACACGGCUUGCCACGCCAUCAACAGGGUCUACCUUCAUCGCCUCCUCAAGAAGACGUCGUAUGAGCUGCUAACCGGUAACAAACCCAAUGUAUCGUACUUUCGUGUAUUUGGGAGUAAAUGCUACAUUCUAGUGAAGAAGGGUAGGAAUUCCAAAUUUGCUCCCAAAGCUGUAGAAGGGUUUUUGUUAGGUUAUGAUUCAAAUACAAAGGCGUAUAGAGUCUUCAACAAAUCAUCGGGUUUGGUUGAAGUCUCUAGUGACGUUGUAUUUGAUGAGACUAAUGGCUCUCCAAGAGAGCAAGUUGUUGAUCUUGAUGAUGUAGAUGAAGAAGAUAUUCCGACGGCCGCAAUACGCACCAUGGCGAUAGGAGAUGUGCGACCACAGGAACAAAAGGAGCAAGAUCAACCUUCUUCCUCAACUAUGGUGCAUCCCCCAACUCAAGAUGAUGAACAGGAGGAGUGUGAUCAAGGGGGAGUACAAAAUGAUCAAGUAAUGGAGGAAGAAGCACAACCGGCACCUCCAACCCAAGUUCAAGCGAUGAUCCAAAGGGAUCAUCCCAUCGACCAAAUUCUGGGUGAUAUUAGCAAGGGAGUAACUACUCGAUCCCGAUUAGUUAAUUUUUGUGAGCAUUACUCCUUUGUCUCUUCUAUUGAGCCUUUCAGGGUAGAAGAGGCCUUGCUAGAUCCGGACUGGGUGUUGGCCAUGCAAGAGGAGCUCAACAACUUCAAGCGUAAUGAAGUUUGGACACUGGUGCCUCGCCCCAAGCAAAACGUUGUGGGAACCAAGUGGGUGUUCCGCAACAAACAGGACGAGCACGGGGUGGUGACGAGGAACAAGGCUCGACUUGUGGCAAAAGGUUAUGCCCAAGUCGCAGGUUUGGACUUUGAGGAGACUUUUGCUCCUGUGGCUAGGCUAGAGUCCAUUCGUAUUUUGCUAGCAUAUGCCGCUCACCAUUCUUUCAGGUUGUUCCAAAUGGAUGUGAAGAGCGCUUUCCUCAACGGGCCAAUCAAGGAGGAGGUGUACGUAGAGCAACCCCCUGGCUUCGAGGAUGAACGGUACCCCGACCACGUGUGUAAGCUCUCUAAGGCGCUCUAUGGACUUAAGCAAGCCCCAAGAGCAUGGUAUGAAUGCCUUAGAGAUUUCUUAAUUGCUAAUGCUUUCAAGGUUGGGAAAGCCGAUCCAACUCUUUUCACUAAGACUUGUGACGGUGAUCUUUUUGUGUGCCAAAUUUAUGUCGAUGACAUAAUAUUUGGUUCUACUAACAAAAAGUCUUGUGAAGAGUUUAGCAGGGUGAUGACGCAGAAAUUCGAGAUGUCGAUGAUGGGCGAGUUGAACUACUUCCUUGGGUUCCAAGUGAAGCAACUCAAGGACGGCACCUUCAUCUCUCAAACGAAGUACACGCAAGACUUGCUGAAGCGGUUUGGGAUGAAGGAUGCCAAGCCCGCAAAGACUCCGAUGGGGACCGACGGACACACCGACCUCAACAAAGGAGGUAAGUCCGUUGAUCAAAAAGCAUACCGGUCAAUGAUAGGGUCAUUACUUUAUUUAUGUGCUAGUAGACCGGAUAUUAUGCUUAGCGUAUGCAUGUGUGCUAGAUUUCAAUCCGAUCCUAAGGAGUGUCACUUAGUGGCGGUGAAGCGAAUCCUUAGAUAUUUAGUUGCUACGCCUUGCUUCGGGCUCUGGUAUCCAAAGGGGUCUACCUUUGACUUAAUUGGAUAUUCAGAUUCCGACUAUGCUGGAUGUAAGGUCGAUAGGAAGAGUACAUCGGGGACGUGCCAAUUCUUAGGAAGGUCCCUGGUGUCAUGGAAUUCUAAGAAACAAACCUCUGUUGCCCUAUCCACCGCUGAGGCCGAGUAUGUUGCCGCAGGACAGUGUUGCGCGCAACUACUUUGGAUGAGGCAAAACCUCAGGGACUUUGGCUACAAUUUGAGCAAAGUCCCACUCCUAUGUGAUAAUGAGAGUGCUAUCCGCAUGGCGGAAAAUCCUGUUGAACACAGCCGCACAAAGCACAUAGACAUCCGGCAUCACUUUUUGAGAGACCACCAGCAAAAGGGAGAUAUCGAAGUGUUUCAUGUUAGCACCGAGAACCAGCUAGCCGAUAUCUUUACCAAGCCUCUCGAUGAGAAGACCUUUUGCAGGUUGCGUAGUGAGCUAAAUGUCUUAGAUUCGCGGAACUUGGAUUGAUUUAUAGCAUACAUGUGUAUAUGCCUUUGAUCAUGUUCCUUAUGCAUUUUGUUGCUUAAUAAUGAUGCUCAAGUUGUACAAACACUCCCUGGACCUCACAAGUCCGUUGCAAAGUGAUGCACAUGUUUAGGGGGAGAUGUGUUACAACUUGACCCUUUGAGACUAACCAUGUGCUUGAGUUUGCUUGUUUUAGUCUCAAAGGAGGUUUGAAAGGGAAAAGGUGGACUUGGACCAUGAAAGACUUCCACUGCACUCCGAUGAGAGGGUAACUUAUUCCAAGUUCAUCUCAUGUACUCUUAUUGCCUUUGUAUUCUUAUUGAAGAUUUUGGUGAGGCAAUGGGGUUCUAGGGCCAAGAUUAAUCCCGUUUUGGUGCUUGAUGCCAAAGGGGGAGAAAAUAAAGGCCAAAGUGAUAAAUGGAUCAGCUACCACUUGAGAGAUUUUGAAAAUAGUAGAAUAGAGCUUUUGGUUUGUCAAAACUCUUUUAUUAUCUCUCUUGUCAAAAGUUGGCUUCUUGUGGGGAAAAGUGCUGAUUAUGGGAAAAAGGGGAGUUUUUGAAAUCUUGAAUCAAUUUCUCUUGAAAUGACUCUCUUUAUGUCUUAACAUGUGUGUUUGACUUAGAGAUAGAAAUUUGAGUUUGAUUUGCAAAAACAAACCAAGUGGUGGCAAAGGGUGAUCCAUAUAUGUCAAAAUUGAAUCAAAACAAUUUGAGUUCUUAUUUGAAUUGGUUUUGUAUUUGUUCUACUUGCUUUAUAUUGUGUUGGCAUAAAUCACCAAAAAGGGGGAGAUUGAAAGGGAAAUGUGCCCUUGGGCCAUUUCUAAGUAUUUUGGUGAUUUAGUGUCUAACACAAGUGCUUAAAUGUAAAAUGGUGGACAAAGUACAAACCAAGGAUAAAGGUAUGUUUCUCAGACUUAGUACAUUGUUUUAUGGACUAAUGUAUUGUGUCUAAGUGCUGGAAACAGGAAAAAUCCAAUUGGAAAUGUCUUGGCUCGAGCAGCCAAGAAUCUGCUCAGUCUGGGAGCACCGGACUGUCCGGUGGUGCACCGGACAGUGUCCGGUGCGCCAGGCUGGCUCGAGCGAACUGGCCGCUCUCGGGAAUUCACCGGCGACGUACGACUAUAAUUCAUCGGACUGUCCGGUGAGCCAACGGUCGGCCGGGCCAACGGUCGGCCGCGCGAUCUGCGCGGGACACGUGGCCGAGCCAACGGCUAGAAGGGGGCACCGGACUGUCCGGUGUGCACCGGACAUGUCCGGUGCGCCAACGGCUCUCUGGCUGCCAACGGUCGACUUCGCUGAAAAAGGAAAGAAAUCGGGCACCGGACACUGUCCGGUGUGCACCGGACUGUCCGGUGCGCCACGCGACAGAAGGCAAGAUUUGCCUUCCUGGAAAGCUUAAGCUAAUGGGAAGAGGUGUGCAAUUCACUUAUAUUAUAUUCCAACACUCCCCCUCACGUUGAGCCUCUCUUGGGUCUCAGACGUGGAAUAGGAGCGAGCAACAAUUAUUUUAUUUAAUUGCGCUAGCCAGGAUUCGAACUCAUGACCUCUGGCUUUGAUACCAUAUUAAGUUGCAUGCACCAACCAAUUCAACCCAAAAGCUUAAGCUAAUGGGAAGAGGUGUGCAAUUCACUUAUAUUGGGAAGCGUUUGUUACCUACCGUAGUAGGCCGCCUGUAUGUAUUUAUAGGAGAUGGAAUACCAUCAUCAGAUUACAAAGGGGCUGGCGCCAACAAUCAAUCAAAUCAAUCAAAACAGAUUAUGAUUGAUUGGAUUCUAUCUAUAACAGAUCUGAUUGAUUGCCUCAGAUUAUAUCUAUAACUGAACAGAUCCUUUCCUAUCUUUACACGGGCGCAUCACCCUUUCCUUACUUUACAGAUACAUUCUUAAUAUUAUCUAACAUCCCCCCUCAAUCAUAACUUGCAUAAGUUAAGAUUGUCUCUGAACAGAUCCAUCUUCUUCUUUGUCAGCGCUUUUGUAAAACCAUCUGCUAUCUGGUCAUUUGUAGAAAUCACUCUCACAUCCAGGAGCUUCCUUGCCACUCUUUCACGCACAAAAUGGAAGUCAAUUUCAACAUGCUUAACACGACCAUGAAAGACUGGAUUGGCUGUGAGAUAGGUAGCUCCAAUAUUGUCACACCAGAUUCUUGCUGUAGGGGGACAAGAAAUUUUCAAUUCCUUCAAUAGAGACUGAAUCCACAUCAACUCAGCAGUGGCAUUUGCAAUAGCUUUGUAUUCAGCCUCAGUACUAGAUCUUGACACGGUUGGUUGUUUGCGAGCGCUCCAGGAUACCAAAUUACUGCCCAGAAAAACAGCAAAUCCCCCUGUAGAGCGCCUGUCAUCAAUAUCUCCAGCCCAAUCUGCAUCAGUGAAGGCACUGACCAGCAGAGAAGGUGACUUUGAAAUCUUCAACCCAUGGUGAAGAGUGUAUCGAAGGUACCUUAAGAUACGCUUGACUGCUGUCCAGUGAUCUGUUGUAGGUGAAUGCAAAUAUUGGCACACUUUGUUCACUGCAAAACUGAGAUCCGGACGAGUCAAAGUUAGAUAUUGUAGGGCACCUACUAUGCUUCUAUACCGUGUUGAAUCUUCAGGCCCAAGGGGUUCACCAUUGUGAAGGCUUAAUUUUUCUGAAGUAGAGAGUGGUGUAGUGGUAGGCUUGCAAUUUAUCAUACCAACUCGACUAAGAACAUCUGAGGCAUACUUUCUCUGCGAGAGGUGAAUACCAUUAUCUACCUUCUGCACUUCUAUUCCAAGAAAAUAAUGUAGUGGGCCAAGGUCUUUUAGUGCAAAAUCAGUUUUCAGAUCCUUGAGCAAAGCUGAGACAACAUCCUGAGAUGAACUUGCAACAAUUAUGUCAUCGACAUAUACAAGCAAGAAGAUGGUGAUACCUUCCUUGAUGUAAAAGAACAGAGAGGUGUCUCCUUUGGAUGCUUGAAAACCUAGCUGCAAUAGUUUGUCACUGAGUCUGGAAUACCAGGCUCUAGGUGCCUGCUUCAGACCAUAAAUGGCCUUGUCAAGCUUGCAAAUGUGGUGUGGCUGUAGCUUGUCUUCGUAACCUGGUGGUUGCUUCAUAUAUACAUCCUCCUCAAGAAUGCCAUGAAGAAACGCAUUCUGAACAUCAAGUUGUCGUAGUGACCACCCUUGUGAAACAGCUAGAGAGAGAAUAACCCGAAUAGUGGCUGCCUUCACUACUGGACUGAAUGUGUCCUCAUAGUCAAUCCCGUACCUUUGCUUGAAGCCUUUAGCGACUAAUCUAGCCUUGUAUCUAUCCAGAGUACCAUCUGCCUUCUUUUUGACCUUGUACACCCAUCUACAAUCAAUAAUAUUUUUGAUUCCUUCUGGUGGAACGAAGUGCCAAGUCUUGUUCUUAGCCAAGGCCUCAAAUUCAGCAUCCAUUGCAUGCUUCCAGUUUUCAUCACCCAAGGCCUCUGCUAAAUUUUGGGGCUCACUUGUGGCAGCCAAACAGCCAUACUUGAUGCGCUGUAUUGUACCAUUCUAAAGCCGAGUACGAGGUCUCAGAUCUAUGUAACCACCUGCAGCUGAAGCACUUUCAGUUCCUUCCAUGAGAGACACAUGUUCUUCUGAUUCUGAAGCACUUUGAAACGAUGGUGAAGGAGCUGCAGUAGGUUCCUGUGAAGGAACAGCAGAAGAAAAAGGUGUUGUGGCAGUUUCUGGUAAUGCAGCUGAAGGUGGAGUUGAUAUGUUCUUCUCUCGUCUCUGGUACGUGGUAGUGAUAGGUGGUUUCAUAUAUUGUUUUGUUGCACUCUUGGGCUGAACCUGCUCUUGUUCAUGCACUUGAAGCUGCUCAGUACCUAUGUCCUGCAUUCUGACAUCAGAGACCACACUAGGAACAACAUCAUCAAUUGCAUUAGCCUCAGUAACAUCAGGCAAAGUGUGAUCAGCUGUAUUAAAAAUGCCCCUAUUGUCAAGGUUGGAUGAAGGAAAUAAGGUAGAAGGCAGGAGAUUAAUUUGUGCUCUAAGACGUGCUCUAGCAUUUGCAUGAAGUUCAGCAAAGGGAAAAAUGUGCUCAUCAAACACAACAUCCCUAGAGAUGUAGACACGACCAGUAGAGACCUCUAGACACUUGUAUCCUUUGUGCAUAUUGCUGUAGCCUAGAAAGACACAUCUUGUAGAGCGGAAAGCCAAUUUUCGAGUAUUAUAGGGCCGCAGGUUUGGCCAGCAUGCACAGCCAAAAACUUUAAGAAAAUUAUAGUCAGGGGACUGUUUGAACAACUGCUCAAGAGGUGUAGAGUAAUCAAGAAGUUUCGUGGGGGUGCGAUUAAUGAGGUAUGCAGCUGUGGCAAAAGCAUCAUCCCAGAACUUAAGCGGCAUGGAUGCUUGAGCAAGGAUAGACAACCCAACUUCAACAAUAUGUCUAUGUUUGCGUUCAGCAGGUCCAUUUUGCUGAUGCGCAUGUGGGCAGGACACAUAAUGAAUGAUGCCGAGUUUAGUAAAGAAAGAAUUUAGGCGCUGAUAUUCGCCUCCCUAGUCUGUUUGCAUAGCAAUAAUUUUGGUGUCAAAUAGGCGCUCAACCAUGGUUUGGAACUCAGUAAAUCUUUGGAACACUUUAGACUUAUGUUUCAGCAAAUAAAUCCAGCUGAAUUUGCUAAAAUCAUCUAUAAAACUGACAUAGAAUUUUUUUCGACCAACGGACUCGGGGGCUGGGCCCCAUACAUCCGAGAAAACGAGUUGUAAAGGCUUGGUAGAGACACUUGUUGACACUGGAUAAGGUAAUUGGUGACUCUUGCCUUGUUGACAAGCGUCACAGACAGACGGACUACUUGACUCACUAGAACAUAUGAUCUGAUUAUUAUUGGCUAAUUUUCGAAUGAUCUGCAAUGAUGGAUGACCCAGACGAUUGUGCCAUAGAGAUGGAGAGGACUUGAUGGCGCCAAAUGCCCCCCGCCAAGAACUGUCUGAUGGAAGGGGAUAAAGACCAUCUCUGCAUCUACCUUGAAGAAGAACCUUCCUCGUGUCCAGAUCCUUAAUCAAAAAAUGAUUUGGAAAGUAUUCAAGUGAGGCAUGAUUAUCAGAUGAGAAACGAUGAACAGAAACAAGACUUUUUUGUGCUGUUGGGACGUGCAAGAUAUUAUUGAGAUGCAAGGGUUUAGUAGGGGUAUCAAUAACAGCAUGACCAACAUUGCAUAUGUUCAUACCUGCACCACUUGCAGUGUGAAUCUGAUCUGUCCCCUUGUACUUCUCAUGAGUGGUCAAUUUGUCCAGCUCAGACGUGAGAUGAUCCGUUGCAGCUGUAUCGGUAUACCAAUUUGUAUCGACACCAUAGCUGUGCAUUGCUGCUGCUGCACUCUUGGAAUUUGAGUUGGAAUAGUUGUCUUCAUCAUAUCGGUACCAGCACUUGCGGGCAGAAUGCCCAGUUCUGUCACAAACCUGACAGGUUAUUGUGUUCCCAUCAGAUAUGUGCCCUCCUGGACCACCACGCCCUCUUGGCGCAUUGCUGUUGCUGCUGCGACCAGGAUUAAACCGGCCAUUGCGACCCCGGCCACGCGGGCCAGAACCACCACGACCACGACGAGCAGCAACAUUAGCCGAUGGCUGGGAUCCUCCAUACAGCAAAGCCAUCCUGCUCUCAAAAUUGAGGAGUUGCGAGUAUGCCUCCCCAACUGAGACAGAAUCCUUCUGUGCAACAAGGGCAGAGACCACAGGGUUGUAUUCUUCAUCUAGUCCCGCAAGGAUGUAGGAGACUAGUUCUUCUUCAUCAAUGGGCUUCCGAGCAGAUGCCAUCUCAUCUGCAUGUGCCUUCAUUUUUGUAACAUACUCAGAAAUUGACAAGUUACCUUUCCGAGUCAUGGCCAAUGCAAUCCUGGUGUUGACUGUUCUUGCCCGGGACUGCACUGGAUAGGUCUGUUCCAGCAUGUUCCACACCUCCUGGGGCGUGGUGUAGGAUGAUACCUGACCCAUGACUUCUUUGGACAUGGAGGUGAUGAGGAAGCCGAGGACCUGCUGCUCCAAGGCAGCCCACCGGAUGUACUCCGGGUUGCUUUCCUUCACUGUCUUGUCACCGUUCUUGACGUCGAUCUGCUCUUCAGGCGCCUUGGCAGAGCCAUCAAUGUAGCCCUGCAGUUGUGCGCCACGAAGGAUGGGAAGAACCUGCGCCUUCCAGAGCGCAUAGUUCGACUUGGUUAGCUUCUCAGCUAUAGUUUGCCCUAGCAAAGGUGUAGGUAUAGCCAUGAAGGAUGAGCUUGCCAUGAGAUCUCCUGGCGUCUGCUAUGGGCUAGGGGUGGCUAGGGUUUGAAGGAGGUGGCUCUGAUUAUCUUGUUUGAUAUACCUAGAAUGCAUUCACUAGGUUAAACUUUUUCAAAAGUGUGAUGUUGUGUGUUGGGUUUAGAGUUUAGUUUAAGGACUUGGCUUAAGCUAAACAGGAGUAGGUCAUCUCUUAAACAAGUAGCAAAUUGACUUGGAGUUUUAAGUGUUAAAGGUAAGUCUUAGAGCAUAGAGUGGUCUUGCUUGGAAUAUAUGGUUAAGUAAAGAAAAUUCUAAACCAGGACAUUUUGGAUAUGAGCUAUGUGUAUCACAUAUUUGAUCUUGAGCUAGAGAGUAACUUUGCUCUAGGUGCAGGGAUCAGAGGGAUGAAUUGCUGGAAGAAACAGUAGCCACAUUUGAAACCCUAAAACAAGCCCAAAAGAGGAAUUCAAGAUCUAGAAGGAUUUAGCUAAAAGUUCAUAUACCAAAACUUGGAAAGUGAACAAAUUUCAAAUUUGGAGAAUUCCAAGUUAUGUGGAGACAUUUGGAGUAAUUUGCAAAAGUUCAGCUUGGGUUCAGUUUGAAUUGGGUUGAAAACAAUUUCAUAUAGCUGUUUUUGGACCCUUAUAACUUUUGAUCUAUGGACUUUUGGUAAGGAGUUACUAUAACAAACUUGUAAAGUGACUGUUGGAGAACAAUGCUUAUUAAGUGUACUAGCCCUAAAACUAUAUGCAACUAGCUGAAAAAGUGGUCCAAAUUAGAGCUGUCAGAUUUCAGACUUAAUGUAAAUGCAUGGCCUGAAUUUCAGUGGUUUGGUAUAACUUUGGAGCUCUCUAUUUCUCUAUACAUAGGGUUAUAGGUUAUGAUCAUUAUAACAAAAUUAUAGAGCUAAAUGAGGAGUAUAAGUUUGAUUAAGACACUUAUCCCUGAAGCUAUUUGGAACUUGGAGUAAAACGGGUCCAAAAUAGAGCUGUCAGAAAUUGUAGAUUACAGACUUAGUGAAAUUCAGAUUCUGAAUUUCAGCAAUUGGAGCAAACUUUGGGUUAUUGUAUUUUGGAAUCCAAGAGGUUUUGGUUAAUGGUUACUAUAUCAAACUUGUAGAGGAACUAUAGGAGUAUAAACUUUAUUAAGCAAGUUGCCCUUAUCAACAUUUGGAACCCAGGAAAAAGAGUGGUUCCAAGUGGUGCUGCUGUAUUUCUGAAUUUUCAGAUUGGAAACAGUAACUGAAACCGAGUUUCAGUGUUUUGAUAGCAGUUUUCAUGCCUAUUUGUGGCUAUUCUAUAAGGUUUUGGGCUGUGAUGUUUGUAGAGGAAAGGAAUACUAUAUGAUUUUGAAUAACUUUAUUUAAGGGUGAGGGACAUGAUCCUAUACAAAAGUUGGAGUAACAGCUACUCAAAGUGGACUGUCAGGUUGGCUUUAACUGAAGUUGGUUCAGUUAGCUGAAACUGAAAUUCAGCAAGUUGUCCAGUUUGAGGCCCUCUAGAAUUUGAUCCAUGUAUAUUUGGUCAGGGACAAUUAUAGAAAACUUGGAUAGCCUUAGUUGGUGAGUAAGUCUCCUAUUGUGAGCCUUGUGUGGUUCUAUAUGAAUAAUGGAGUAAAACUGGUUAAAAGGUGGAAUGUCGGGUUUGCACUGUCUGAAUUUGGGUUCAGUAGCUGAAAGCUGAAAGGCAGUAUUUGGUGCCAAGUUUGGAGCACUUUUGUGAUUAAUCCAUUCCCUUUUGGACUAAACUUUCCAUAGCAACGUUGGAGACCACAGUAAGGUGAACAAGUUUAUGCAAAUAAUUGGUCUUGUUACUGUGUGUAAUUUGGAGAUAAUAGUGUUACAAAACUCCCUGUCAGACUGGGUGCAGAGCUGUUUCAGACAUCUGAAAGUGGACAUUUCAGUAUUUUGCCCAACUUUGGGGUACCACAACUUGUGUUCUGUGUAUUACCAGUCUUGGGGUGCUAUACCAAAGUGAAAGAGCUAUGGAUGGGGAAUAAACUUGGUCAAGAUGGAUGGGUCUGUUGUCGAGGGGAUUUGGGUGAUAGAGGGGCUUAAACAGGGAGGUAUGCAGAGGGAGCAGCAGGGCUGAUGGAGUAAAUUCAGAGUUAGAUUUAGUAAACUAAAGAGGCUUUAUUCCUCUCUAUUGUGCCCAUCCGAUGCUAUGGAUCGUGACAUGGAUGGAGAUAAGGAUGUCGGGUCUAACUUGGGUUCUAGAGUUUUUCCCAUUGAAAUAUCCAAUUUUGGACUGUCUGGUGUACAUAAAAACCUUAUCUGCUAGUUCUUGAAUGCAAUGAACUGGACAUCAGAAACUCUAGUGGCUUCACCCUUUGAUAAGUAUCAAAUUGGUAUCAAUUAUUCUCUAUCCGUAAAGUAGUGUUUACCUGCCCUUCUUCUGUCUGUAUUCUUGGACAGAAGAUAUUUGUGGGCAGCGAGCCUUAUCUGUCCUAGCUCCUAUUUGAAUAACUGGACAAAACUGAUAUUGGUACUGAGAAACAAACCAGGUUCAGUGCCUACUGUGUUGUAUCUAGUUGCAUGGGUUGAAGCAUAGAUGCAGUUCAUAGUUAAGGCUUUAAAGAUCUCACCCCCCCCCCCCAUUCUGAAAAUAUCUCAGCCCUGUGCGGUUAGUGUUAUCCACCAGCUGAAUCCUUAUCUGCUCUCCUCCCCAAUCUAUUUUCUGGCCAGGGCUGAGAGGCCUAUUGUGCCUAUAGGCUGGUGUGGUGCUUGAGCAUGAAAGCCACGUGUGUAACCCUGUUAUGCUAGCGCUAGGAACUCCUCUCCUCUGUGUUUGGUUGAAGUCCGAGUUGCUUGGGUUGUGGAGUCUUUUUCCUGCCCACAAGCUCUAACCUGUGUUCCUCAUGUGAGCAUAUUGUUUCUGUGCUCAAGCCGAGGAUGACUCCCUUCCCAACCCUGAGUGCGCUGUCCCAGAGCUUGCUUGUCGUGUUCCUGUGCCAGUGGUGACCGCAGCCACCUAUGUUCACCUCACCGUGGCCAAGACACUCGAAGCAAUUACACACAAAGGUAACGUGUGUUAUGUGCUCUCCGUAAGACAGUGAAGCUCACCGAAGUGAGUUCUCUAACUCUACUAUUGCCUGAUGUUUGGAAUGGGGUCGCGCCGCCGUGGAUCGGCGUUGAAGACAAUCCUACCGUAGACCCUUCAACUAGCACUUUCUCUAACCGAUUCCUCGCAAGCAUUGAAGACUAGGUAUGUCGUUGAUGCUCACCGCAACGUUUGGUUGAAUUCUACCGCAACGAUCUGGAACCUCUUCACUGCAAUAAGCCACGCCCCGGUGCACGAAACUCCUUCCUUGUAUUUUUAAAAAGAAUUUUAUACACUUUAACUCUAGUGAAAUGUGCAUUAAGUUUAUAGAUGUUGCUUGGAAACUAUUUGAUGCAUUGACUACCUUGAUAUUCAUUCCUGUUAUAUAUACUUUUUUGGAAGUAUCAAAUAUUGUUUACAAAAAUUGCUUAGCCCUACCUAGAGGUAAAUCUUGCAGAUAGAGUUUGUUCUUUGCACUAAUGCCUAGCUCAGGUUUAUCCUGAGGAAGGAUGGAUCUACCUACAAGAAUAUUUUUACCAGGAUCAUUGGGAGAUCUAAUGCAAGGUUCCCUAUGAUGUUUUAAUCAUCCUAAGGAACACAAACAAUCCUAAGGAUGGAAGUACUUAAAUCGAGACUUGGGCUAGGAACUGGUGAUGUUCUGCACAGGUUGAUUAAGAAUUAUAGGGAAUGUAGGCCUGCUGAUCGAGGACUAUAUUAACUAGCCACAUGCCCUGGUAUGGGACAGGGUAAGCCUAGUCUCAGCUUGACAAAUACCAGAAAGGCUACCAUGCAAUGGGAGUGGAGAGAUGGCGAGAGUAGCAUGUACCCUCAGUGGCAAGAGGAUGGACGGUGGAGUAACUGUGCUCUCGGUUGGCGUGAACCCGGUCUGGUCUUGAGAUAGCAGGGGCGGGUUGGCAUAUGCAAGGGUUAAGUGCUACAUAUGUUGUGUGGUUAGGGAUCCCCAGCUUGGUAAAUCGAUUUGGGUCACCAUUAUAUCCUCGGAUAAUGGAGACUUGGUCACUGACCUGCAAUCUAAGUCAUGGAUGGAAUCAUAAUGAGCAAAAAUCAUGUUGUAUUGAUUAAGGUGAUGAUGAAAUUAGACUAGAUGCAAACAAGGUCUAUUAAUACUUAAUCUAGCAUUAAAAUGUUGAAAGUGAGGACUCAUUUUAGUAAGCUUUUCUGCAAACUAUUAAAGUCGAUUCUUGCUAAAAGCCUUUCCUUCAUUCCCAAAUCCAGCAUACCCUUGAGAGUCUUUUUCCUUAGUCGGGUAAGACUUGCGAAAGUAUACUUCGUACUUAGGGUUUUCGAACUCAUGUUGUUGCAGGUAAUCAUGAGCUUUCUAGGUGUCCCUGUGGCUGGAAGAUGCUUCCAGUCUUGAAGGAGGAUUAGUUAGGUUUAUGUGUGAACUUUGGAAGGGUUCUACCUUCUUGCUAUGGUAAUAAGUUAUGCACUUUGAGUAUAUCAGGAAUUGUAAUUAUUAUAACUAUUUUUAUGUUGUAAAACUUGAGUUUUAGAAAUAUAAAGUAUGUUUGCAAAGUCUUUUGCUCUAUCUCCAAAGUGUGUGUAUCGAAUGUGGUUACUGUAAUAUACAUGAAUGUGGGAGAUCCUUGGGACGAUGAGUUCAAGUUGAUGAAGUCGAUAGCCUUGUUAAGUUACAUGGUACACAUGCAUAGCCAUCUGAGGCUGUUAAUGGCAAGGAUUAAUGCAUGUGGGCUCGAUAACUUGGGAGGGUUGUCACAAUCACCAUCCUCUAGGACUAGGAUAUCACAAUCCAACCCCUUAGAAGACCGACGUCCUCGUCAGCCAACCCCAAGCCAAGAACCUCUCCUCCUGGCCACGUCUAUAUGUCUAGUCUCGUCAUAUGCCAUGCCAUGUGACCACUCCAGACCCACAUGUGCCAUGUGCCAUAUACAUGAACCCCUAACCACACAUGCCUGUCAAACCGCGAGGCUCGGCUCUAAUACCGUUUGUAACACCACGUCCACUUUUGAACCGGCAGUACUUAUUCUUGACAGCCCUUUAGGACCAUAGACCAUCCUCGCGGACCAACACGAGUCACCCAUCCAAAUUGCUCCAAGCCAAGCACGUUUAACUUGGAGGCUUCUUUCGAGAUACACUUCCGAAAAAGAAGAUGCACCUUGUUGGUAUGAGUAUUAUAUUAAUUUUAUUAAGCCUUGGGCCAGAAUAUCAUCGUCCCCUGGAGCCAGGAUAUCACAGAUGUCGAUAAGGUAAACGUUUCAUGUGCAUAUAUAGGGGGGGAUGUUUGGUUUCUGGGGACAAUUUUUUAGUCCUCCAUUUUAUUUUGUUUUAGUUUCUAAAAUACCAAAUACGAAAAUAAAAUUCUAUUUUAGUUUUCGUAUUUGACAAUUUAAGGACUAAAAUGGAAUAAAAUAGAGAGACUCCCUAGAAACCAAACACCCCCAUACCACAAUUCAUUUUGAAAAGCUCAGUGGCGAGCCAUCCAUGCAUAUGCGAUCGAGCUAGUGUUUGAUAAAGUCAAUAUCCCUUCCAUCUUUUUAUUAUUGAACAAACAGUUUAUUUAUUUUAUUGAGUGUAUCACACAACCGCUGCUCUAGCUUGGUUGCUCUCAUGGCGGGCAGCAGCACUCGUAUUUGCUGCCCUCAUGCUUGCAGUAGGCCGACUUGGUCUUGUGCUUGGCGGAUAGGCAUUGCAAGGCGCAUGUCGCGGUCGUGCAGUGGUCCGCGUCGUUCUUGAGAGGGUCCACGCACGGUGUCGCAUCUAGCUGCUGAUCGCAGCCACCAAUGCCUACACAUCAUAGUUAAUAAAUAAUAUAUACAGUAACUCGUCAGUCAGUCUUGAGAAGGAGAAUAAUACUGUAGAAAUAAGUAAAGUAGGGUUGGUGAUGGUGCCUACAGCUUCGUCCGGCUUCGUAGCACGGAGAUGUUGAAGACAGGACCACAAAAACCAGGACUAGGACGAUUGUCGUCUUGAACACCGCCAUGAGAAGAAGAGGAUAUAUAGAUCGAAUUCCCUACUGAUGUGUGCGCUGGGGAGGAGUAUGUGUAUUUGUG